rnacentral:rRNA from 1 species
GAUGAACGCUGGCGGCGUGCUUAACACAUGCAAGUCGAACGAAGAAGUUUUAGUUUACUAGAACAACUGAGUGGCGGACGGGUGAGUAACGCGUGGGUAACCUGCCCUAUGGAGGGGGACAACAGUGGGAAACCGCUGCUAAUACCGCAUACCUUAUUAAGAUUGCAUGGUCAUAAUAAGAAAGAGUUAUCGCCAUAGGAUGGGCCCGCGUCUGAUUAGCCAGUUGGUAGGGUAACGGCCUACCAAAGCAACGAUCAGUAGCCGGCCUGAGAGGGUGAACGGCCACAUUGGGACUGAGACACGGCCCAG